ACGCCGCGCCCCCGCCACGAGAGCGCUCCACGCGGCGCGUGUUGACAACUCCGGGCGUGGACCCGACCGUUCCCACGUGACGUGUGACCCUUCUUCCCAUAUAAAACCGAACUGGCCACGCCAGUCCCGAAGCACCUGACCCAGCGACCCAGAAACCCCUCAACUGCGCGCCCCUGACCCGGGGACUCCCACCCCUCGUACACGCACCCCUUCCACCUCCCCGACGGACAGCCCCGGAGGGAAAGAGCUUCAGCACAGAAGCCCAGGGCCGCCGCGGACGUGACGUUUAAAGCGACUGCGCCUCCCAGGCCCACCCCCAGAGGCGCGCAGUGCACUCUGGGCCUUGUAGUCCUCCGGGAGGCGGAGGCGGAGCCAGAGCCGCGGUGCCGGCCCUUAGAGCUCGCAGCCUCUGCCGCACGCUUAGGUUCACGAGAAACCCGCUGAUGGGAGACCUCUGCAGUUUUCCUAUGAAGCUGCAAAAAUGAACUCUUCCCAGUGUGAACUGUUUCCUACAGACAUGAGCACAUGAUAAGGCAUGGCCUCUAACCUUAUCAAGGAGCCUGGCAGUGGUCCGAGGUGGAGGGCAUUCGACAGCUUUUGCCACACAGAUAUCAUCAAGAAUUUUGCGAGUUUCUGUGGUAACAAAUAUAAGAGUUAGGACAAGACACAUUACAUUAGCCCAGUAAAAACAUAUAAAGAGGGGGCUGGGAACGUGGCUCAGUAGUAGAGCAUGUGUGAAUCCUGGGUUCAAUCCCCAGCAUUGCAAAACAAACAACAAUAAAGCCAAAAAAGAGAAUGAUAUAGAAAUUUUAGCUCUGACCCAAUCAAUUUGGGGCUGAACAGGAAGACAGGCUGUAAAAUAGAGGACUAUUAUUUUACCUUCAGUUUCAAAGAGGUUUGUUUCUGGCAGCUUCACCCCCAGGGCUUUCUCAAGCUCUUCUACCAUGCUGAUUCUCCGGAAAGGUGGGGUGAAAUCAAUCUCAUAGGCUUGGCCCUCUGGGCCAUCUGGGUGGUAAGUGAUCUUGUAACUGCCUGUAAUGUUCUUCACCAUUCCUGAAGAGAAACCCGCCAUUUCAAAAGAAUGAAGCCCAAGAAACUCUCCUCUUGAGGCAGCACACCUGCCCCCACAGAUAAAUUUGAAAGAUAAAGUGAGCAGGACUCACCUGAAACCAUCUUCUCUGUGAUUUCCAUGAGAUCGUGAUAGUCUGCAUAUGCCAUGUAGAACUCACAGGUGGUGAACUCAGGAUUGUGAGUCAAAUCAAUCCCUUCAUUCCGGAAUUGGCGUCCAAUUUCAUAAACCCGGUCAAUGCCACCAACCACCAGCAUCUGACAACACAUUGGCCAUACUCAGAGAAGGAAGUCAUGUCUGAACAGUCCUGGAAAGUUUCUAUAUACUAACUGGUUAUCACAGCUUACACAUGCUUUAUUUAGACCCUUGUAGUAAACAGAUGUCAUUCUUUUUGGCUACCUAGGACUUAUGAACACUCUUUCUGUAUCUCCCUGUCCUGUCUCCUUGGGCCUCUCCAAAGAAGCAUCUUGGGUUAGGCAACAAGUAAGUGACCAAGCUCCAACCAAUCCGACACAACUGUGAGACUUUUAACAUGGUAGCUACUAAAAAAAGAUGUAGGUAUUGCACAAAAUUCAUUUUGGUGAAGGGGAUCAGAUAUCCACCUUUUACAGAUAGUAGCAGUGACCUAUGCCUAGAAGAAAAGACACCAUGUUCUACAUGAAAUGUGAUUCAGCAUCAUUCUUAGUUAUGUGGUCUCCGAGCCUGACUGCCUGAUUGUCUUAGAGAUUGUGAGCUUCCUCAUACAGAUGAAUAAAUUUUUAUUUUCCUUAAACUAGUUAA